rnacentral:rRNA from 1 species
AUUGAACGCUGGCGGAAUGCUUUACACAUGCAAGUCGAGCGGCAGCGCGGGGGCAACCCUGGCGGCGAGCGGCGAACGGGUGAGUAACAUAUCGGAACGUACCCCGACGUGGGGGAGUAACACAGCGAAAGACUGUGCUAAUACCGCAUACGACCUGAGGGUGGAAAGCGGGGGAGUCGCAAGACCUCGCGCGAUGGGAGCGGCCGAUAUCGGAUUAGCUUGUUGGUGAGGUAAAGGCUCACCAAGGCGACGAUCCGUAGCUGGUCUGAGAGGACGACCAGCCACACUGGAACUGAGACACGGUCCAGACUCCUACGGGAGGCAGCAGUGGGGAAGUUUUGGUACGAAAUGGGGGCGAACCCUGAUCCAGCCAUUCCGCGUGAGUGAAGAAGGCC